ensembl:snRNA U12 U12 minor spliceosomal RNA
AUGCCUUAAACUGAUGAGUAAGGAAAAUAACGAUGCGGGGUGACGCCCGCGUCCUCGUGCUUACUCGCGAGAAGAAUUUUUGAACGGGUACAGGUCUGUCUGCUGAGGUGACUCGUUACUUCUCGAGAUGCCUCGCGGAACCGGGAUCUGCCCC